GGGGGGGCUCAGGGAGGAGAGCACAGGGAGAGAGCCGAAAAGUGGAAGACAGAAUCUGCCCAGGCCCCACUCAGGUCCAGAACAUUCUCCCUGCCAUCCUUGGGCCUGCCAGGUGGAUGGUAGGGCUGAGGGGCAGGACCCAGGCUGGGAUCAGCUAUGUCUGUCACUUCAGGGCCUGGUGUGUGGAAGGCUAUGCUGCAAAGUUUUUCGUCUGAGCCCUUGGCCUUUAUUUAGUUGUCCGCCGACCUUCUGGAUUGUAAUCCAAACCAGCAGACUUCCGUGGGUGCGGUUAACUAAGGGAAGCACCGCGGACCCAGCUGAACUGGCAGAGCACUUCAAAGGCCUGCGGGUCAUUCAUCAUCCCCGUGACGCUCCGGCAAAUGCUCAGCUUCAGCUCCGCGCCAGGGAUUUGUUAUGACUUGCGAGCCGGCUGACAGACAGGGCUGUGGCGGCCGCGGGAGGGGAC
rnacentral:lncRNA from 1 species